ACACAGGCACAAUUCACAGACUGUCUCCUGCAGCAAGCACCGAGAAUCCCAAGCAGUCAUUCUGGUCUCCUCUCUCAAGCAUUUACUGAAAUGACGCAUACUUUUAAUGAGAAAAAGAACAAUUUUCACUACCAAGAGGUAUUCUUGGCAAGAUGCUGAAGCCCCCAACAGGAUGCCAGUACUUCAGCAAGAUGAUCCAGAGAGGGUGUGAGACAGAUAGAGAGGAGGAGUUUUUUCAUGUGAGAACAAUCUACCACACAGAAAAAAAACCCUAAUGGAACAUGGCUGCUUCAUUAAAUAAAUACCUCCACAUUGUCUUUCCUAUAUGAAAUCCAUUAAAAGGCUUUCAGAAGAUACCUAGAUGAUCCAACAGAGAAUUUCAUGACCACAGAGGGGCCAGAGCAGGUCCAGAUGUACUACAAAGACUGUUGUACAUUGAAGCCAUCAACUACUCUCACAAGGGGCUACCUUAGAAGACUGCCCAGGUUAUUGAGGAUUUACCCUGCCAUGCUACAAGACGGAGAUUUUAACCCCUGAGAAAACUGAGCUGACAACUACAAUGCUGUGGUUCUUGCACCCUCAAUACUUCAUCCAACAGCAGCAAUCUGCAGAGAAAUCCACUUUUCAGGAUCUGCUUCUGCUUCUCUCCUGUGGCAUCCACAUUCUUAAAGUUUCUAAAGAAAUGGCAUGACACAAACCCACUGUGAGGCCAAUGGGCAAUUUUGUCCGUAAGGUGAGGCAGGAGAAGAGAAUUUCAUGAGAAUGUACAAGAUCUACUUGACUUACACAUCUCUCUGUUAUUCUCUUGCAAAGACAAGACAAUUCUCUGAGGAAAAUAAAAAUUUAGAAAAAAUU